AUUGAACGCUGGCGGCAGGCUUAACACAUGCAAGUCGAGCGGAGAUGAGGUGCUUGCACCUUAUCUUAGCGGCGGACGGGUGAGUAAUGCUUAGGAAUCUGCCUAUUAGUGGGGGACAACAUUCCGAAAGGAAUGCUAAUACCGCAUACGUCCUACGGGAGAAAGCAGGGGAUCUUCGGACCUUGCGCUAAUAGAUGGGCCUAAGUCGGAUUAGCUAGUUGGUGGGGUAAAGGCCUACCAAGGCGACGAUCUGUAGCGGGUCUGAGAGGAUGAUCCGCCACACUGGGACUGAGACACGGCCCAGACUCCUACGGGAGGCAGCAGUGGGGAAUAUUGGACAAUGGGGGGAACCCUGAUCCAGCCAUGCCGCGUGUGUGAAGAAGGCCUUAUGGUUGUAAAGCUCUUUAAGCGAGGAGGAGGCUACUGAGACUAAUACUCUUGGAUAGUGGACGUUACUCGCAGAAUAAGCACCGGCUAACUCUGUGCCAGCCGCCGCGGUAACAC
rnacentral:rRNA from 1 species